rnacentral:rRNA from 1 species
GACGGGGGGGGCAAGUGUUCUUCGGAAUGACUGGGCGUCAAGGGCACGUAGGCGGUGAAUCGGGUUGAAAGUGAAAGUCGCCAAAAAGUGGCGGAAUGCUCUCGAAACCAAUUCACUUGAGUGGGACAGAGGAGAGUGGAAUUCGUGUGUAGGGGUGAAAUCCGUAGAUCUACGAAGGAAGGCCAAAAGCGAAGGCAGCUCUCUGGGUCCCUACCGACGCUGGGGUGCGAAAGCAUGGGGAGCGAACAGG